rnacentral:lncRNA from 1 species
AUCAAUAAUAUGAAAUUAUAAACCUUGUAAUAUUGAAUAAGUACUAGUUAUGAUAUUUGAAUAUGACAGAGAAUACAGAUGAUGAUAUAUGUUCUUAAACUUGACAGAGUAUAUAUAGAUUAUGUAUGUAUGAAAAUUUGAUGUUUGUUAUGUAAAUGUGAAGAAGUAAUUAUACAGUUCAGCAGUUAAUGAUAUCCGAUGUAGUUGGAAUCAGUAAGAAGAUUGAAGAUGAUGUUGCAGGAAGACAUAUUGGUAUCACGAAGAUCGCAGAUGAAGUGAUGCCAAGAAUAGAUUGAAAUUCAGAAUUGAACAGACUGAAGAAAUGUAUCCUUGAAG